rnacentral:rRNA from 1 species
UGGGGGGUGCCCUUUACCAUGCAAGUCGACGGCAGCAUGAUCUAGCUUGCUAGAUUGAUGGCGAGUGGCGAACGGGUGAGUAAUACAUCGGAACGUGCCCUGUAGUGGGGGAUAACUAGUCGAAAGAUUAGCUAAUACCGCAUACGACCUGAGGGUGAAAGUGGGGGACCGCAAGGCCUCAUGCUAUAGGAGCGGCCGAUGUCUGAUUAGCUAGUUGGUGGGGUAAAGGCCCACCAAGGCGACGAUCAGUAGCUGGUCUGAGAGGACGAUCAGCCACACUGGGACUGAGACACGGCCCAGACUCCUACGGGAGGCAGCAGUGGGGAAUUUUGGACAAUGGGCGAAAGCCUGAUCCAGCAAUGCCGCGUGUGUGAAGAAGGCCUUCGGGUUGUAAAGCACUUUUGUCCGGAAAGAAAUGGCUCUGGUUAAUACCUGGGGUCGAUGACGGUACCGGAAGAAUAAGGACCGGCUAACUACGUGCCAGCAGCCGCGGUAAUACGUAGGGUCCAAGCGUUAAUCGGAAUUACUGGGCGUAAAGCGUGCGCAGGCGGUUGUGCAAGACCGAUGUGAAAUCCCCGAGCUUAACUUGGGAAUUGCAUUGGUGACUGCACGGCUAGAGUGUGUCAGAGGGGGGUAGAAUUCCACGUGUAGCAGUGAAAUGCGUAGAGAUGUGGAGGAAUACCGAUGGCGAAGGCAGCCCCCUGGGAUAACACUGACGCUCAUGCACGAAAGCGUGGGGAGCAAACAGGAUUAGAUACCCUGGUAGUCCACGCCCUAAACGAUGUCAACUAGUUGUUGGGGAUUCAUUUCCUUUAGUAACGUAGCUAACGCGUGAGUUGACCGCUGGGGAGUACGGUCGCAAGAUAACUCAAAGGAUUGACGGGGACCCGCACAGCGUGAUGAUGUGAUCUCGGAUGCAACGCGCGAAAAAACCUUUACACCCUUAU